AGUUGAGACGCGUAGCCCGGGCGGAAUGCCGGGCCGUUGGGGCGCAGAAUUUACACGACGGAUGGUGGGAGAAAAAGGAUGCGCAUGCGUGUUGCGUCCGCGGAAUGGGAGCGGAGACGCAGGAAAGGGAUGCUAGGCCCCGGCCACUCUCAGCGGAGGAGACGGGAAGAACCGCGACAAAUGGAAGGGAUUAGCUAGUCAAGGGCGGGGUUACAUAGACCCUGGAAGAAUUUCAGGUCUGGUGUCCAUUCCGGAGAGUGAAUCUUGACACUUGGGUGGGUGAGCGCAGAUUCCUUAUGGACUAGCCAAUGAGCUCCAGCGAUCUUCCUGUCUCUGCAUCCUGGUGCUAAGUUACAGACACAGUGAUCCGCCCAGCCUGUAUACGGGUACAGGAUGUCCAAACACAGGUUCUCGUGUUUGCAUAGCAAGCAUUUAUUCAUUUUUAUUUUAUUUAUUUUUAUUUUUAUGCAUAUUUACAUAGAUGCAUAUGUACCAAGUGGGUUCUUGGUGCGGAAGAGGAGGUCAGAACAGAAUGUUGGAUCCCUUUGAACUGGAACCUACUGGUGGUUGUGAGCUCCCAGGUUUAGGUGUUGGGGAUCAAAUCCAGGUCCUCUGAAAGAACAGCAAGGGCUGAGCCAUCUCUCCAGUGGCCAUCAGUAACAGCUUGACGUACUAGAGACACUCACAGGAUAUUGUAGAGCAGCCUGAUUCUGCUGGUGGGAGCAGGUUAAAAGAUAUAUGGGGAGAGAGAGAAGGGGAGGGGGAAAGUAGAACUUGGCAUCCACAGUAAUUCCAGUGCUGCAGAGGCAAGAGACAGGUGGAUCCCCUAGGACUCCCUGGCCUGCCAGCUAUGCUACUCUCUUAGGCAAGUUCAAAGCCCAUGAGAGAACCCAUCUCAAAACCACACACACAAAACCAAGGUGGGCAUAAACUGAGAAACGACAGCCAGAGUUGACCACUGGCUUCCAUGUGUCUGUCUAGGGAGAGAGACUGUGCGAAUCUCUGUCAAUUUUGAGAGAUAUUGAAAUUGUAACGCUGGCUGGUGUCAAGGGUUGAAGGAUCCUGGGCUCACCUACUAGGAAGCUGCAAUUCCAGUUGCUACCAAGGGUUGAAGAAUCCGGAUUCCCCUCUCUACCUACCCAAGAACUACACUGAGAGCUUUACACUAGAGGGCGCCAUUGCUGCAAAUUAUAGUUCAGGUAUAGGAGAGACGAUGAAUAGAAGAAGCAAACAAAGGUCUGUGUCUAGAUGAAGAGUUAGCAGGACACAGUUAAGAAUUAGCAUGUGGGGCUGGAGAGAUGGCUCAGAGGUUAAGAGUCCUGUCUGCUCUUCCAGAGGUCCUGAGUUCAAUUCCCAACCACCAUAUGGUGGCUCACAACCACCUGUAAUGGGAUCCGAUGCCCUCUUCUGGCCUGCAGACAUACAGGGAGGCAGAACACUAUAUACUAAAUGAAUAAAUCUCUUUUUAAA